GAUGAACGCUAGCUACAGGCUUAACACAUGCAAGUCGAGGGGAAACGACAUCGAAAGCUUGCUUUUGAUGGGCGUCGACCGGCGCACGGGUGAGUAACGCGUAUCCAACCUGCCCAUCACUUGGGGAUAACCUUGCGAAAGUAAGACUAAUACCCAAUGAUAUCUCUAGAAGACAUCUGAAAGAGAUUAAAGAUUUAUCGGUGAUGGAUGGGGAUGCGUCUGAUUAGCUUGUUGGCGGGGUAACGGCCCACCAAGGCAACGAUCAGUAGGGGUUCUGAGAGGAAGGUCCCCCACAUUGGAACUGAGACACGGUCCAAACUCCUACGGGAGGCAGCAGUGAGGAAUAUUGGUCAAUGGGCGAGAGCCUGAACCAGCCAAGUAGCGUGCAGGAAGACGGUCCUAUGGGUUGUAAACUGCUUUUAUAAGGGAAUAAAGUGAGAGUCGUGACUCUUUUUGUAUGUACCUUAUGAAUAAGGACCGGCUAAUUCCGUG
rnacentral:rRNA from 1 species